AAAAUUGAGACAAUUUAUCUUUUCCUGAUAGUUUUCUGGUAAAUAUCUCCAUUCAUGGACCUUCAGCUCAAUUCCCACCUUCCAACUGUUUAAUAUUUCUGUUAAAUGACCUGAAACGAUAACAUGAAAGAUCACAUGGUAAGUCCAAUUUCGCCACCAAUAGCACUCGUUAUUUGGUUGUUCAUUCACUCAACUCUAAACCCUGCAGAUGGCAGAAAAGUCCGCGCUGACAUAGGAAUUUGCCGAUCUCAUGAUAAUUUUGGUAUAAAAACUAAAAUAUCUUGUAUGAAUUAUCCCAAAGUAUUUUGUUGUCCCAUCCUGUCUGGACCUAAACCCAUCAAAAUCUGCUGUACAUGGGACGAGUUUUCAAAACAUUACUCUUCUGUGAUUUUUCAGGUCUCCUUCAUGUUUAUUUUGAAUGUGAUAUUAUUGGUGAUCGUCAUGUGUUUAAGCAUCUAUGGUUACUAUUUGUUUACUGUCCUUCCUGAAAUAAAGGUUGAGUAAAUUCAAUUGCGACUUCUUUACCUGGUUUGCACUAAAAUUGGUUUUCCAACAAACCAUAAUUUUAUCAACUUGUUCAACUGAUCAAUUGUCUGAAAGCCAACAAUAAAUGUUUACAACCGUU